AAUCCAUAGGUUAAUGAGGCGAACCGGGGGAACUGAAACAUCUAAGUACCCCGAGGAAAAGAAAUCAACCGAGAUUCCCCCAGUAGCGGCGAGCGAACGGGGAGGAGCCCAGAGCCUGAAUCAGCAUGUGUGUUAGUGGAAGCGUCUGGAAAGGCGCGCGAUACAGGGUGACAGCCCCGUACACAAAAGCGCAUGUGCUGUGAGCUCGAUGAGUAGGGCGGGACACGUGGUAUCCUGUCUGAAUAUGGGGGGACCAUCCUCCAAGGCUAAAUACUCCUGACUGACCGAUAGUGAACCAGUACCGUGAGGGAAAGGCGAAAAGAACCCCGGCGAGGGGAGUGAAAAAGAACCUGAAACCGUGUACGUACAAGCAGUGGGAGCACCCUUUGGGUGUGACUGCGUACCUUUUGUAUAAUGGGUCAGCGACUUAUAUUCUGUAGCAAGGUUAACCGAAUAGGGGAGCCGGAGGGAAACCG
rnacentral:rRNA from 1 species